GCGUGUGUGAAGAAGGCCUUUUGGUUGUAAAGCACUUUAAGCAGUGAAGAAGACCUAUACGGUUAAUACCCAUUUGCGAUGACAUUAGCUGCAGAAUAAGCACCGGCUAACUCUGUGCCAGCAGCCGCGGUAAUACAGAGGGUGCAAGCGUUAAUCGGAAUUACUGGGCGUAAAGCGAGCGUAGGUGGCUUGAUAAGUCAGAUGUGAAAUCCCCGGGCUUAACCUGGGAACUGCAUCUGAUACUGUUAAGCUAGAGUAGGUGAGAGGGAAGUAGAAUUCCAGGUGUAGCGGUGAAAUGCGUAGAGAUCUGGAGGAAUACCGAUGGCGAAGGCAGCUUCCUGGCAUCAUACUGACACUGAGGCUCGAAAGCGUGGGUAGCAAACAGGAUUAGAUACCCUGGUAGUCCACGCCGUAAACGAUGUCUACUAGUCGUUGGGUCCCUUGAGGACUUAGUGACGCAGCUAACGCAAUAAGUA
rnacentral:rRNA from 1 species